rnacentral:rRNA from 1 species
CGAUUAAGCUACCAAGAGCAUACGAUGGAUGCCUAGGCAUCUGGCGCCGAAGAAGGACGUGAUAAGCUGCGAUAAGCUGCGGUUAGUUGCAAAUAAGCGCUUGACCCGCAGAUCUCCGAAUGGGGAAACCCAGUUAUAGGAAACUAUGACUAUGUUUGUGUGAAUAAAUAGCACAUUCAAGGGAACCCGGGGAACUGAAACAUCUUAGUACCCGGAGGAAAAGAAAGAAAAUUAUCUAUUACCUGAGUAGUGGCGAGCGAAAGGGUACCAGCCCAAACCGCAUAUAGCAAUAUGUGCGGGGUAGUGGACUUGUAUACGGGCACUUGGCAUGAGUAGCCGAAGUUGUUUGGAAAACAACGCGAAACAAUGUAAAAGCCAUGUAAGCGAAACUUAUGCCAUAGCUCACAAGAAUCCGGAGUACCACCCAACACGUGGAAUUGGGUGGGAAGCAGGGAGGACCAUCUCCCAAGGCUAAAUACGACCAGAUGACCGAUAGUGAUUAGUACCGUGAGGGAAAGGUGAAAAGCACCCCGGAAGGGGAGUGAAACAGAACCUGAAAUCGUGUGCUUACAAGCAGAGAACGCACUACGCUUACCGCAAGGUGAGCACGUGUUAUCUCGUACUUUUUGUAGAACGGGCCGGCGAGUUACGAUGCGUUGCGAGGUUAAGGAAUCAAGUUCCGGAGCCGUAGCGAAAGCGAGUCUGAAUAGGGCGAAUUUUAGUAGCGUGUCGUAGACCCGAAACCGAGUGACCUACCCAUGAGCAGGUUGAAACAGGAGUAAAAUCCUGCGGAGGACCGAACGCACCCCUGUUGAAAUAGUGGGCGAUGACUUGUGGUUAGCGGAGAAAUUCUAAACGAACUCGGAUAUAGCUGGUUCUCCUCGAAAUAGCUUUAGGGCUAGCCUCGGAAUUUAGAGUAUCGGGGGUAGAGCACUGAAUGGGCUAGGGGCCUUCACGGGUUACCGAACCUUAUCAAACUCCGAAUACCGAAUACUUUUGUCCGGGAGUCAGACAGCGAGAGAUAAGUUCCGUUGUCAAAAGGGAAAAAGCCCAGACCCACAGCUAAGGUCCCCAAAUAAUAGUUAAGUGGUAAAGGAUGUGAUGUUGCACAGACAACCAGGAUGUUGGCUUAGAAGCAGCCACUCAUUUAAAGAGUGCGUAAUAGCUCACUGGUCGAGUGAUGUUGCGCCGAAAACUAUCGGGGCUCAAACUAUUUACCGAAGCUUGGGAAUUAUCUUUGAUAAUUGGUAGGGGAGCAAUGUGUGCGGGCUGAAGCCGUAUCGAAAGAGGCGGUGGACUGCACACAAGAGAGAAUGCCGGCAUGAGUAGCGAAAGAGGAGUGAGAAUCUCCUCCGUCGAAAGCCUAAGGUUUCCUGGGGAAGGUUCGUCCUCCCAGGGUUAGUCGGGACCUAAGUCGAGGCCGAAAGGCGUAGAUGAUGGACAACAGGUUGAUAUUCCUGUACUGUCAUACAGUUCGAUGCAGGGACACAGAAGGAUAGUCAGUCCGCGCGGAUGGUAAAGCGCGGCCAAGCGGUUAGGCUGGGUUGUAGUGAAGUACGCAACUCAUUAGGCUGAGCCGUGAUCGGGGAGUCGAUUGCGACGAAGUUGGCGAAUCCACGCUGGCGAGAAAAGCUGCUAAGGCUAGCUGUAGGGCACCCGUACCGCAAACCGACACAGGUAGGCGGCAAGAGAAUUGCAAGACGAGCGGAAUAACCAUCGUUAAGGAACUCGGCAAAAUGACCCCGUAACUUCGGAAUAAGGGGAGCCUAGCAAUAGGUCGCAGAUAAUAGUCCCAACCAACUGUUUAUCUAAAACACAGGUCUCUGCAAAAGCGCAAGCUGAUGUAUAGGGGCUGACGCCUGCCCGGUGCCGGAAGGUCAAGGGGACGUGUUAGCGCAAGCGAAGCACCGAACUUAAGCCCCGGUGAACGGCGGCCGUAACUAUAACGGUCCUAAGGUAGCGAAAUUCCUUGUCAGGUAAGUUCUGACCCGCAUGAAUGGCGUAAUGAGUUGGGAGCUGUCUCAACGAUGGAUCCGGCGAAAUUGUAGUAUAUGUGAAGAUGCAUAUUACCCGCGACUGGACGGAAAGACCCCGUAGAGCUUUACUGUAGCUUGGUAUUGAGUCUCGGCAAAGGAUGUACAGGAUAGGUGGGAGACAUUGAAGCAAGGGCGUUAGCCUUUGCGGAGUCAACCUUGGGAUACCACCCUUUCUUUGCUGGGGUUCUAACGAGAUGCGCUAAUCGCGGUUUCGGACAUUGCCAGGUGGGCAGUUUGACUGGGGCGGUCGCCUCCUAAAGAGUAACGGAGGCGUUCAAAGGUUCCUUCAGAAUGGUUGGAAACCAUUCGUAGAGUGCAAAGGCAGAAGGGAGCUUAACUGUGAGACUUACAAGUCAGGCAGAUACGAAAGUAGGACUUAGUGACCAGGCGGUAGAGUAUGGAAUUGCCGUCGAUUAUCGGAUAAAAGUUACCUCGGGGAUAACAGGCUGAUCUCCCCCAAGAGUUCACAUCGACGAGGAGGUUUGGCACCUCGAUGUCGGCUCGUCACAUCCUGGGGCUGAAGAAGGUCCCAAGGGUUCGGCUGUUCGCCGAUUAAAGUGGCACGCGAGCUGGGUUCAGAACGUCGUGAGACAGUUCGGUCCCUAUCCUUCGCGGGCGCAGGAUAUUUGAGAGGAUUUGCCCUUAGUACGAAAGGACCGGGGUGAACGCACCUAUUGUGUACCGGUUGUCGCGCCAGCGGCACUGCCGGGUAGCGAAGUGCGGAGCGGAUAAACGCUGAAAGCAUCUAAGCGUGAAACCCACCUCAAGAUUAGAUAUCCCAUCUACACGCAAGUGUAGAGUAAGACUCCAUGUAGACGACGUGGUUGAUAGGUCGCAGCUGUAAGUGCAGCAAUGUAUUCAGGUGAGCGAUACUAAAUAAGUCGAGGGCUUUAUCAAU